rfam:Schistosoma mattheei strain Denwood, Zambia genome assembly, scaffold: SMTD_scaffold0004286
AUCCAUCUGAAGAGUCCUGAAUGGGAUGAAACGCACGUCCUGAAU